UCCUUAGUAACCUGGGCGAUAGCUGUGGAUGUUUCCAAGGAUUGUCUUCAGUCAUGGCCUUGGGAUUAAAGUGCUUCCGCAUGGUCCACCCUACCUUUCGCAAUUAUCUUACAGCCUCUAUCAGACCCGUUUCAGAAGUUACACUGAAGACAGUGCAUGAAAGACCACAUGGCCAUAGGCAAUACAUGGCCUAUUCAGCUGUACCAGUCCGCCAUUUUGCUACCAAGAAAGCCAAAGCCAAAGGGAAAGGACAGUCCCAAACCAGAGUGAAUAUUAAUGCUGCCUUGGUUGAGGAUAUAAUCAACUUGGAAGAGGUGAAUGAAGAAAUGAAGUCUGUGAUAGAAGCACUCAAGGAUAAUUUCAAUAAGACUCUCAAUAUAAGGACCUCACCAGGAUCCCUUGACAAGAUUGCUGUGGUAACUGCUGAUGGGAAGCUUGCUUUAAACCAGAUUAGCCAGAUCUCCAUGAAGUCGCCACAGCUGAUUUUGGUGAAUAUGGCCAGCUUCCCAGAGGUAAGAUGGCCUUGCUAAAAUCUCUCUCCGUGGUCUCUUUUGGAAUGGAGGAGACUGGGUCAUAUCAGGAGGAAGUGUUCCUUCAGCUUAGGAUGAAACAAGAGAGAAGACAUAAUAAAGAGAACUUAAGGAUAAGGCAAAGCUCUUUUCCUGUUGCCAGAUUCCUUUUCUGUUAAACUCAGAUGCUACAGAGGCUAGGUAAGUUGUUUGAAUACCCAAACGGGUCCCAUCUAAGAAAAACAAUACUGGAGAUGCAGUGAUUGGUGCUUGGCCAGCGUGAAAAGGCUCUGGUGAGCUGGAGAGCCUGUACCUCGUGUGAGUGGAAUGCCUCUGCCCAGCUCCUGCUGAUCAUUGCCAGGCACAGUGUAGGCCUGGUAAUCAGUGUUACCUGAUACUACGAUUUUUAUUUCCAGAAGAAGCUAGUAACACAAAUUUUUAUGUGACAUCUUUAUUCUGUAAAUGUUGAUGACUAAUUUGAGUUUUUUUUUUAAAGACUAUGAAGCAAAUAAAACAAUAUUUUAAUGGGCCAAAUGUGGCCUGAGGGCCACCAAUUUGUGACCUCUGCAUUAGUAUUUGGAGCAGACCCUCCAGGAAGUCCUUUUAUACUAGACUGACCAUUGCAGAAUAUUGCAUGGAGCACAGUGCUUCCAAAACUGGAAGGAAUUGGCCUGGAUUAGGAGUCUUAGAGUACCUGGAAUCCGGUCCCAUCUCUACCACCAACUGGCUGUUUGACCUUGGGCAAGUUGCUUCACUCUCUGGGCCUCCAUUUCCUCAUCUGCUAAUAUAAGUGUACAGCUGCAGCUAUCAAGGCUAUAAGAGAAAGUGGAAUGAAUCUGAA
rnacentral:sRNA from 1 species